ACUCUUCCUAACACUACCAACCUAUCUUGGGGAGUGCGGGAGGGUGGGGAACAUUAAAUCCUGGGCUCGGCCUCAGGCCGACAGAGCCGAAAGUGGCCUCGGGAACCUAUGCCUGUUAAAAAAAGAACUACAAGUCCCAGCAGGCUGAGCGGCUACGGCUCUCUGGACCUGCUCGGGAUUGGAGCGUAAUGCAACGUUCUAGGAAAGAGAGUAUUUCUUCUGGGUGUGGCCAACCCGGAUUUGUAGUUCCCAGGCCGGUGUUCCCGUAUGGUCUCACUCUGUCAUGCAUGAUGGACUGCAGUGGUGCAAUCAUGGCUCACUGUAGCUUCGACCACCCUGGCUCCGGUCAUCAUCCUACCUCAGCCUCCCAGGUAUGUGGGAUUACAGUGGUGUCAGUCAUCAACCUUGUGAUCACUGAGGAAAAGAUACAAUAAUCCUUGCCUAUCCGUGAGUUCUGUCUAUAUGUAUUCAACCAAGUUUAGAUUGAAAAUAUUUUGGGGAAAAAUGGAAGGGUGCACCUGUACUGAACAUGUUCCAACAUUUUCUUGUCAUUGUUACUUAAAUAAUACAGUAUAACAACUAUUUACAUAGCAUUUACACUGCUUUAGUAAUUAUAAAUAAUCUAGGGAUGAUUUAUUUAGAUAGUCUAGGAAUGAUUUAAAUAAUCGAGGAUGGUGAUAUAUGGGAGGAUGUACAUAGGUUAUACAUAAAUACUACACCAUUUUAUAUCAGGGUCUCAAACAUUCAUGUACUUUGGUAUCCAACAGGGAUUCUGGAAUCAAUCCUCCACAGAUAGCAAGGGAUAACUGUAUUAGUUUUUCUUUUCUACACUGUUUAAUGGAUGCUGCACCCUUCCUACUCUAGGACCCAACCAGGAUCCUGAGCCCUCACUUUCUCCCUGCGUUCCUCAUGAUCCAUUUGACUAUAAUGCAGAAAGUUUGUUUAGCUACUGGCUGGUAUCUGUAACUCCUAUGACAGCUCACACUCCUUGAAGAAGAAGAGAGAAAACAGAAGACUUGUCCUGUGGAUAGAUUAUUUCUUCUUCUGUUUGUUUGUUCUUUGUAUGCUCUCGACAACAUCCACAUACACAAAUGCACAUACAUAAACACAGAAACUUUUUCUUAACAUGGACAAUCUGAAAGAGAAAGCAGCACAACAACCAUUUUGGAUGAUCGAGACUAUUUUUAUAUUAUUACAGUACAAUUGCAGAAUGAAUUCAAAAGGGCAAGCCCCUAGCAAUGAUAAUGCUAAAUGGCUGGUGGAUGUAAAUAAUUAGUGGUCAAUAUAUUAUCCAUGAUAUGUGGCAAGUUUGAAAGUUGGAAAUGCAGAAUCCCUGUUCUGGUCAUAUUAUUGUACUUGGAUCUGCUGGGAACCAUUUGAUACUCUGGGAUUCUCAUUGAGAAUCCAGUGAUAGCUAAUGUUGAAUAUUGCUUGCUGCUGGGCAACAGUGACUGUCAAAACAUUCCGUCACCACUUUUUUUUUUCAGUUUAGAAAAAGGGUCUUGGAUGUUGCCUAGGCUGGCCGGAAACUCCUGAAGUCAAGUGAUUCUCCUGUCUUUGCCUUUAGUUCUGGAAGUACUGGGAGUGAACCUCUGCACCAGGAUUUCCCUCACCAUUUUCUGUAAAAUGGCUUACUACAAAGAACAUUUCUGUAGUAUAUUUUUAUGUAUGUAUGUAUUAUGUAUUUAUUUAUUUAUUUAUUUUUGAGACAGAGUCACAA
rnacentral:lncRNA from 1 species